CGCUGGCGGCAUGCCUAACACAUGCAAGUCGAACGAGACCUUCGGGUCUAGUGGCGCACGGGUGCGUAACGCGUGGGAAUCUGCCCUUGGGUUCGGAAUAACAGUGAGAAAUUACUACUAAUACCGGAUGAUGACGUAAGUCCAAAGAUUUAUCGCCCAAGGAUGAGCCCGCGUAAGAUUAGCUAGUUGGUGGGGUAAAGGCCUACCAAGGCGACGAUCUUUAGCUGGUCUGAGAGGAUGAUCAGCCACACUGGGACUGAGACACGGCCCAGACUCCUACGGGAGGCAGCAGUGGGGAAUAUUGGACAAUGGGCGAAAGCCUGAUCCAGCAAUGCCGCGUGAGUGAUGAAGGCCUUAGGGUUGUAAAGCUCUUUUACCAGGGAUGAUAAUGACAGUACCUGGAGAAUAAGCUCCGGCUAGCUCCGUG
rnacentral:rRNA from 1 species